AUUGAACGCUGGCGGCAGGCCUAACACAUGCAAGUCGAACGGUAACAGGAAGAAGCUUGCUUCUUUGCUGACGAGUGGCGGACGGGUGAGUAAUGUCUGGGAAACUGCCUGAUGGAGGGGGAUAACUACUGGAAACGGUAGCUAAUACCGCAUAACGUCGCAAGACCAAAGAGGGGGACCUUCGGGCCUCUUGCCAUCGGAUGUGCCCAGAUGGGAUUAGCUAGUAGGUGGGGUAACGGCUCACCUAGGCGACGAUCCCUAGCUGGUCUGAGAGGAUGACCAGCCACACUGGAACUGAGACACGGUCCAGACUCCUACGGGAGGCAGCAGUGGGGAAUAUUGCAUAAUGGGCGCAAGCCUGAUGCAGCCAUGCCGCGUGUAUGAAGAAGGCCUUCGGGUUGUAAAGUACUUUCAGCGGGGAGGAAGGGAGUAAAGUUAAUACCUUUACUCAUUGACGUUACCCGCAGAAGAAGCACCGGCUAACUCCGUG
rnacentral:rRNA from 1 species